AGAAUAGGGAUGAAAAUAUAAUUUACCCCUGAGCAUUGCUGUGAGAGACAAAUGAGAUAACACUCAUGUUGGAGCAUGUCACCAGAUGAAAUACAGAGAGGCAAUAGUUUUUUUUUUUUUUAAUUUUUAAUUUUUUUAAGAUGGAGUCUUGGUCUGUUGCCCAGGCUGGAGUGCAGUGGCGUGAUCUCGGCUCACUGCUAUCUCCGCCUCCCGGGUUUGAGUGAUUCUCCUGCUUCAGCCUCUCGAGUAGCUGGGAUUACAGUCACUUGCCACCGUACCCAGCUGAUUUUUGUAUUUUUAGUAGAGACAGGGUUUUACCAUGUUGGCCAGGCUGGUCUCUAACUCCUGACCUCAAAUGAUCUACCCUCCUGGCCUCCCAAAGUGCUGGAAUUACAGGAUUGAGCCACCACACCUGGACUGCCACCUUCAACUGUCCUGCUGCGCAAUUUCCAGCUGAAGUUAUAAUCUUCUGUUUGGGAUACCAUAGUUGAUUACUGUUGAAAUGACUGUAAUACUCAUUAUCCACCAUUUGUUGGAAGAGUGGAAGAAGACUGUGAUUAAAUAAAAAUUGGCUUGGAUUUUGCUUCCAACAUCUACCACAUUACUUUAAGAACUUAAUCAAAAUUUUGCUGUUGGUGUUUCUAAAUGUUUUUCUCGAUCACUUGCUUGGUCAGUACAAAUGUGGUAGAUUGAAUUAUUGACUCCAUUAUUUACCACUGCAGGAAUCGACAUCCUUUUCCACAGACCGUUGCAGUUCCUCUCACUGUAGACCGAGUAGACCCUUCGGUCUCAGUCAUGUGACUUACUUUAGUCAAGAAGACUUGAAAUGUGCAUGCAUAGAUGGGCUUGUCCUCUCACACCUCUGCCACCUUUGUAAAAAGAAGCUGUCCUGUUACGAUUUUGCACCAAGGAAGAUGACGGACACAGAAGCAUAUUUGGACCCAUCUCACACCCUGGCAUCCACGGCAGACUGGAGAGCCAAUUCUGUGCCUACUCACACACAUGUAAGAGAGAAUAAAUGGUUGCUUUAAGCCAGCAUUAGGACUGUUUAUUGUGCAACAAUAGCUGACUAGUACAACCACCCACAUUUAUGACUAUGAGUGAAAAGAUAUGUUAUUAACUGCAGUCACAUCAUCAAUUAACAUUACCAGAGUACUCAUUGCAGGUAGAAAUAUGCAUUUUGAGGAGGCCUAAAAGAGAUAUAGAAGUUUUGUCUGCUGCUCUGGAAGAUUCUGAUAGAAGGGUAUGCUGCUCAUCAGACUCAUUAUUUCAAUAACAUUUAUUGAGAGCAUACUCUGUGUCAGACACUGUGCUACAGCCGGAAGAACAAAGAUAAACAAGUCAGGCCUGACUUCAACAAGCAUGAGGCCUAGUAGGAGACACAGACUUGCAAACAAAGCGCUGCUUUAUAAAAUUUCCAAACCGGCUGGGCGCGGUGGCUCACGCCUGUAAUCCCAGCACUUUGGGAGGCCGAGGUGGGUGGAUUACGAGGUCAGGAAAUUGAGACCAUCCUGGCUAACACGGUGAAACCCGUCUCUACUAAAAAUACAAACAAACAAACAAACAAACAAACAAUUAGCCCGGUGUGGUGGCAGGCGCCUGUAGUCCCAGCUACUCGGGAGGCUGAGGCAGGAGAAUGGCUUGAACCUGGGAGGCGGAGCUUGCAGUCAGCAGAGAUCCCGCCACUGCACUCCAGCCUGGGUGACAGAGCGAGACUCCGUCUAAAAAAAAAAAAAGAAAAUUCCCAAACUGCAACUGUAUUUGAACUGUAUACAGUACAGUAUCUGGAGCCCAGCAUACAAUGUCCAAGUGUUUGCACCAGAACCCUGGCUCAACCAACUUUCUCACCUUUAUUUGCCUCAGUUCCCUCAUUCAUAAAAGCUGGAGAAUUCACAUUUAGGAUGGUAUCUGACAUGUAACAACUCAAUGUCAGCUAUUAUUAUCGCUGUUGUUAUUAUUAUUAAUAUCAACAUCAGCAGCAGCAGUAUUAAGGAUGAAGUAGCCAACCUUUCCUUGACCAUGGCACAUUUAGAGACAUUGAAAUUAUUGUGCUAAAUGCUAAGAGGGCUUAGAAAAUAAAUGAAACAAGGCUCCAUUCUCAAGAGGCUUACCAGAAAUAUUCACACAAAAAGGUCAGUAAUUAUAGAUGAUGAAAAGGAUGGUAACUGAAAGAAACCGUGUAUUAUAUACCUUGUCGAUUCAAACGAAAUUAUUUUAUACACAUAUAACCACCUAGACUUGAUUGGUUAGGGGUUUUCACUGGUAUGGUGACAUUUGUCUCAAUUUUGCUGAAGAUGACACUAUGUAAAUUCAUGCUUGAUAGUUAUAAUUAAAUUAAAAUGGAAGAUUUGUAUUUCUUUCUUGAUAAAUCGACUCAGUCUCACCUACAUCCUUAGAAGCUCAG
rnacentral:lncRNA from 1 species